AUCCCUUUCCUCUGGCCACAGUGAAAGAUCUGAGUGGGAGGAAGACCUUCACAGGCCUGCACCACAGUCCACCUAGGCACAUUCCAGACAAAUGGCACAGUCCUGCGAUCCAGAGCAGGAUCCAAAACAGUCAACAAGGACUGCUCAGCCAGGGACCUCUGCCUCAUAGCCCCCUGUGAGCAGAGAGAAUGACACAUGUGUGCACAUCAUGUCCAGCCAACAAGAUUGCAGAGCAUUCCUUCGUGGCUGGUAACAUCCCACAGAUGGGUUCAUCAGGCAUGCCCUCCAUGAUGCCCUCUCCACCACUUAUGCCUCCUGCCCAGAGUACUUUCUCCAAGGCUGGAAAUGCAUCCUCUGCCUGUGAAUCUCUGUCUCUUGGCCUCAUCCCCAGCAUCUAUCUUCCUGGCCUUGAGAGGAGAGUAAUUACCGGGAUGUGGACAGCCUCCAGAGACUUCUUCUGGCGUGGAGGAGAAAGUGAAAUCCCUCCAGUUCUGGACUAUGUGAGAGAUAUCCCAGAAUCUUCAGCUGUUCUGCUGUGUUUGAUGUCCAAGGCCCCAUGGUGA
rnacentral:lncRNA from 1 species